rnacentral:rRNA from 1 species
AGAGUUUGAUCCUGGCUCAGAUUGAACGCUGGCGGCAUGCCUUACACAUGCAAGUCGAACGGCAGCGCGGGGCAACCUGGCGGCGAGUGGCGGACGGGUGAGUAAUAUAUCGGAACGUGCCCUGGAGUGGGGGAUAACGCAGCGAAAGUUGCGCUAAUACCGCAUACGAUCUAAGGAUGAAAGCGGGGGACCGCAAGGCCUUGUGCUCCUGGAGCGGCCGAUAUCUGAUUAGCUAGUUGGUGGGGUAAAGGCCUACCAAGGCAUCGAUCAGUAGCUGGUCUGAGAGGACGACCACCCACACUGGAACUGAGACACGGUCCACACUCCUACGGGAGGCAGCAGUGGGGAAUUUUGGACAAUGGGCGCAAGCCUGAUCCAGCAAUGCCGCGUGAGUGAAGAAGGCCUUCGGGUUGUAAAGCUCUUUUGUCAGGGAAGAAACGGUGGGGGCUAAUAUCCCCUGCUAAUGACGGUACCUGAAGAAUAAGCACCGGCUAACUACGUGCCAGCAGCCGCGGUAAUACGUAGGGUGCAAGCGUUAAUCGGUAUUUACUGGGCGUAAAGCGUGCGCAGGCGGUUUUGUAAGUCUGUCGUGAAAUCCCCGGGCUC